rnacentral:rRNA from 1 species
AUUGAACGCUGGCGGCAUGCCUAACACAUGCAAGUCGAACGGUAACGCGGGGGCAACCCUGGCGACGAGUGGCGGACGGGUGAGUAAUACAUCGGAACGUGCCCAGUAGUGGGGGAUAGCCCGGCGAAAGCCGGAUUAAUACCGCAUACGACCUACGGGUGAAAGCGGGGGAUCGCAAGACCUCGCGCUAUUGGAGCGGCCGAUGUCAGAUUAGCUAGUUGGUGGGGUAAAAGCCUACCAAGGCGACGAUCUGUAGCUGGUCUGAGAGGACGACCAGCCACACUGGGACUGAGACACGGCCCAGACUCCUACGGGAGGCAGCAGUGGGGAAUUUUGGACAAUGGGGGCAACCCUGAUCCAGCCAUGCCGCGUGCGGGAAGAAGGCCUUCGGUUGUAA